CCAAUAGAAUGAGAUUCUUCACAACUUCUUGCAGUUGUUUUUUGACUAUCUUGAAUACUUUUGUAUCACCAGGAGACUGUCACUUUCCUGCUCAUCUUCUUGUUCGGAGCAUUCAGCAAAAUGGAAUCCUCAGUAUGGGAAAAAAGCGCUUGGUCUUUUGGAUUGAGGGAGCAGAACUGGAAGGCAGGAUGCCUGCUGAUCGGGAAGUGUGCUGAGAUUUCUCCUACAGACUUAGAUUCUAAUUUCAUUUCUAAUUUGGAAUGGCUCCCAGUGCUCUGCACGGCCUGUCUAAAUGACUAGAAGGCAAGUCUCUUGUUUCCCUAAGGAAUAAUUUGUAUGCCAUGGAAGCCCAAGUCUGAUGAUAUAUUCUAGCCAAUCUGCAUCAUCAUGUGUGUUGUAGGUAAACACGUUUUCCUGCUCUGAAUUUGUCUUGCAGCCAGAGAGGAUCAAUGAUAGCCUGAAGAUCAGAAUGCCCAAGUUCCCAUCUCUCAGCUGCAUGCUUGUAUUGCUCAGCCAGACAUCAAGCUGCACAAGAUCGGGAACUCGGGGUUUUGUGUGGGACGCAGCCAUGAACUGGAGACAGAAAAAGGCUCUGUACUACGGCUUAUAGAAGAUUGUCUCGCUUUUGUAGCAUGAGCCUGCUUUUAAGGAAACAGCAAGGUGGUUCCCUUAACUGCGUCAGGGUCAUGACAUGCAUAGUGGAAUAUACUCAAAGCAACUGCUGGAUUGUAUUUGAAUGCAAUCUUCAGGAGUGAAUAUAAAGUGUUGUGGCUGUGAAUAACUGUUCUGUUGUUUAAAGGUACAGUCCAACUUAAGAUCACUGAGAUAUGUAAAGAGUGGAUGUUGGCUUCUUAGCACUAGUCGUUUCCACCUACAGAUCUGCUUUUGUUCUGUUGCACUGCUUAUAUAGAAAGUCCCCCAGUUUUGAAGGGUCUGCUAGAAAGCUGGUGUACCAUAGGAGUCACUUUCUGGGUUUGGGAGUAAUUUUGAAGAGAACAGAAGUUAGGUAUAACUUCAACACACCAAUGAGACUGUACAGACUGUGCACUCCCUGAAUAAAAGGGACUACAUCUAGAUAGUCACUACAGGCAUGUACCCCUCUUUAGAAUAGAUAGCAGUGCUGUCACCAAAGUGUCAAAGAGUUAAGUUUUAAAUAUAAGGGAAGAUCAGUGAUAAUUGUGACUCUGAUGAGGAACUCUCAGUAUUGUCUCUCUUGCCUCCUUUUUUCCCUCUUUCAUACCAUCUACUGUCUGAAAUAAUUUCAAAAGAUAUUUUCCAGUUUAUUUUGGAAGGAUGGUGAGAUAUGAGUUUAGCAGCUGGUUCAGGCGUGUAUUUCCUCUGAGAUUUGGUCCUUCAUCUGUGAAAUGAAGGUGUUACUUCACAAAGUUGUCAUGAAGAUAAACUUGGUAGAAGCUCUGUGAUGUGCCAGUGGAGUUCCUGACUAAUUAGCUUUGCUCAUCUCUUUCUCCUCAGGCAUAUUUUCUCUUUUAUCCAUUUCUUCUUCACUAAUAUUAAAAGGCUACUUUUACUUUUGCAGUAGUGAUGCCAUUCUAAUAACUUAAAAUAUUUCUUAUUUAUUGUUUUUCAGAUGGCCUUGUCUAUCUAGUACUAAGUGGAUAUUGUUUUAACAGAUUUCUAUUGUCUCUGUUUUCUGCUUAUUUUCUUUUAAGAAAUGACACAUCUGACACACUGUCCUUGAUUAAAUAAUGAAUUUAAGGACUGGAGAUCAUUGUAUCAUGCAUUAAGAACUGAAUUUUAAAGCUGAGGUUCUCACUUUGCAUCCAGGUUUCUUUCUGAAGCCUUCAAGUAAUUUAAAGUACGCAAGUACAGACUUUUCCUAGUCUUGCUUCCUGCUCAUUGAUCUGAUUAGAGUCUGCCUUUGCAGACAGUUGAAUCAGCAAAUCUGGAAGUGCAGAAACUGCAUAGAUGUUGAGCUAGUUUUUCCACUGGAGAAAUCAUAAAGUGCUGUUGUGUCUCCUCUCAGGCUAGCAGCUUUAAAACUAUACUUGGAUUAUUUUUGAGCCGGGACUGGUGUAUACUAGCUUGCCUUCCUUCAUCAGUCUGCCAGAAACUGCAGAUCACCUUUGGGUAAAACAAGAACAAGAAAACUCUGUAAGCCAUUUGUGUAGGAAGAGUCUGUGUAGACAACAGAAACUGACAGGAAAGGGAUAAGGAGAAACUGUAAAGUGAUUUCAAAUUGAUGACUAACAACUCUGUUGGGGUACCUACUCUGGUGUAAAAAUGGGCUUUGUGUUAAAAGAAAAUCUGUGAAGACUGAGAAGUGGAAUAAAAUACCUACCCUCCCUCUCAAAUGAGAUGCAGAAACAAAACAGUACUUCCUGUAUUUAAUGUGUAAGGCCUCACUAAAUGCUUAUUUGGUAACUUCAUUUUAUUUCUCAACCUACUUUUAACACCUGAUAUAUCCCACUUAGUCCCUUUGCAUAAACAAGGAAUGUUGCAAAUAAGCACAAUAAUAUUUAUUAGUAGGAUCUCUAGUUGAUCACUGUUUAAGUGUGAAAGUUUCAUACUAAGAUAAAAACUCCUAUAAAGAAAAUCAGUUGUUUACUUAAAUAUCUAGAACUAAGAACAUUUCAGAAAGAAAAUAGUUUUUAAAUAGAAGAUUUAAAUAUAUUUAUUUGGAAGAGUAAGUUGAAAAUAUUCUAUAUAGCCAUAUAUGUAUGUUAAGAAUUCUGCCCCUACUCUUCUUUCAUAUCUUUUGGGGAAUGUUUUAUGGUUGUGUAUCCAUCUCCUGCAGUGGAUGUUUUGGGACUUCAGUUGUCCUCUAGACUGAGUUAUAGAGCAUUUAUGCAACAGCUUCUCUUGAUGUGUGGUGAAUAGUACAACAGUGAAUCACUUGAUACUGAAUGCUUCAGCAAUCCAAAGGCUCAAAGCCAUAAAUCCCAUAAAUCAAGUCCUAGAAGCUCUGAGGCUAGACUUUUAAUAUAGAAAGAUUAUACAGUGCUCUGUUGUCUUUUUGGUAACUUUACUCUCUCAAAUAUUAUGUGUCUGUGAGACACAUCUGUCUUUCACUGCCAGGACUGCCCUGUUGCCUGCUGAGUUUGCCGUGAUUUGUUCUGACAUCCUUGAAGUGAAAAUCCAAGAGUGCCAUCUGUCAACCUGGGGCUCUUUGUAAGGGCUUGAUGUCCACUGAAAGGGAAUCAGUUCUCCAGGUGGGAACCCCAUUUUGGACUGAUAAAACCAAGAAGAUACAUUACAGCAUAACAUGAGAGAGUCUCGCAGUGGGUAUCUCACUCUUCAUUGUUUCUACUUUUUUUAGAUCUCUGGUAAACUGUGCCCUUUGUGUGAGUUAGGCUUGUCCCCUAAGUUGUUUCAGCAAAUUAAGCUCUUCUGCAUUUAAAUCUGCCCCCUUAAUCUUCCAGUUACCCAUAACCAGCACUGACCUUUUAUGUGAGCUCUAAGACUACACCUUGGUCCACUUUCUUGGAACAUGGUCUACAAGGUUUCAGAAGAAUGAAGCAGCCCUAUAGGGUCCUGCUUUUUAAUCCAGGCUAGGACAUAACUGUAUAGAAACUCCUGUUUUGGGCUUCUCUGUUUUGGGCUGGAUGUUAAAGGGAGAGCUGAAGACCUACCUAAUUCUUUAAAGGAAGAAGAGAAGCUGCCCAUAUCUGCUGAUGUCCUUCAGUGCUGUGUUUAUUGAAUAAGUGUGAGAUACUUGGAUGUGGAGGUGGAGAUCUCUGAUGCUUUCUUGCCGCAGCCUUUGCUGUUUGUAUUAUCUUGGAUGUGAGUGAACAGAAGGGGCUCGCUCAGCCUUGAGGGACAUAGAUUUUUUUAAAAGGCCAUUGCAAAGCUGGCUCUAGAUACAACCAAACAUGUUUCAAACUGGAGAUAAGAUGUCAAGAGCAGGCAACGUUCAAUAUGAGCUACAUCUUGGCAGAGGUUUCAGGGAAAGGGGCUGCCCCUUCUGCUGCAGGGUACAAAGACUGUAACUUUUGAUGACAUUUAAUGUCGCAAAAGAUAAGCAUCUGCAAGCAGGAGGCUUUGUCCUUCAUCUCCUAAAGGGAAAUGAAGUCUUGCAGAAGGUAACUGUAUCAAAAUAUCACAACACACUCAUCAAUUUCAUUUGUGUGAGGCUAUAGGCACCUCUUGUAGUUUGCUUCCCUCUUCCUUGUCUUAACAGGUUCAAACUAAUGGUUGUUACUUGGACUGUGGGGAAAUGGCAACCCAAAGUAGAAAUCUCUGUAUUUUCCAUUAUAUCAAGAAAUUGGACUCAAUGAUCUUUGUGGGUCCAUUACAUUUUAUGAUAUUCUAUGAUUUUAUAUGGGAUGGAGCUGAAACAGUAAAAUGAUAAUACUCCAUUUAUGGUGUCCAUGUGUACAGACUCAGAGUAUGGAGCUUGUACUUUUCCAGCAUUAAAUAGAAACUUCUGAUUUGUAUAUUCAUAUUUUAAAUGUUAUAAAAACACAAAAAUAUAGCUGGGCUGGCCAGGAAGAAAUUGUAUUCCCAGAGAAUGCUUAGCUUUUUAAACAGGGCAAAUCACAAAUCUCAAGUUAUUUUGUGCUGUAGAAUGUGAAACAUGACCAGCAUUCUCAAAGAAAGAGAAAGGUAUCAGUAAAAGGUUCAAUCCAAAACAUUCUGUGAUUCUAAGUGAAAAGAGGGGAAUAAAUAAAAGAUUAUUGUGCAUUGA